rnacentral:sRNA from 1 species
CUUCGACUAAGGUUCGACUCGAGCGAAGCGAGAGAACGUUGCCGCAGGCAACGGCCCGAAGGGCGAGGCGCUUUAGCGCCGAGUAAUCCUUCCCCCACCACCA